rnacentral:rRNA from 1 species
ACGCUGGCGGCGUGCUUAACACAUGCAAGUCGAACGCUGAAACCGGAGCUUCCUUUGGUGGAUGAGUGGCGAACGGGUGAGUAACACGUGGGUGAUCUGCCCUACACUUUGGGAUAAGCCUGGGAAACUGGGUCUAAUACCGAAUAUUCACACCACCGUAGGGGUGGUGUGGAAAGCCUUAUGCGGUGUGGGAUGAACCUGCGGCCUAUCAGCUAGUUGGCGGGGUAACGGCCCACCAAGGCUAUGACGGGUAGCCGGCCUGAAAGGGUGUACGGCCACACUGGAACUGAGACACGGUCCAGACUCCUACGGGAGGCAGCAGUGGGGAAUCUUGCACAAUGGGCGCAAGCCUGAUGCAGCGACGCCGCGUGGAGGAUGAAGUCCUUCGGGAUGUAAACUCCUUUCAGGGGUGACGAGGCCCACCGCAAGGUGGGUUGACACUAGCCUCAGAAGAAGCCACGGCUAACUAGGUGCCAGCAGCCGCGGUAAUACGUAGG